CAAUAUUGUGAAGGACAGAGUGGAAUUCAACUGCAGAGAGAUGCUUCCCUGCAUUUGAAAUUUCAGGUGACUUUUGCAGGGGACAGGAACUUAAAGUUACCAAUUCCUGAGUGAGAAGAUGAGGUUAGUAUCACUUGGAGAGAGAGAGAGAGAGAAACAAACUUCACUAAAAGUCAAUUACUCAACAAACAUUAGCCAGAUUUUCCUCUUCAUAGAAGAAAAUCCAACAUGUUUAUUUUUAUGAAAUUUGCUUACACAGUUUCAAUUUUUUUCAAUCUAUGUGCUCUCUUUAUUAGCAUAGACCAAGUUCAACAUCCUGAUUAUAGAACUUUCAUUCCAUACAGAAGUCCUCUCCAUUAUAUCCAAAGAUUUGCUGGCCAUGUUAAAUGGAUAGCUGACGCUUGCAGCAUUUCACUUUCUUUUGCAGAAACCAAAAUUAGCCACACCCUAAUUGUAUUUUGGUUCGAAAUAUCAGCAGUAUCAUGCGAAUGUGGAAGAUGCCAGUCAAAUACCGAGACCCGCAAUGGCAUUUAAGCUAGAUAGGACCAAGACAGAGUAGAAUCACAAUUUCACGAUAGCCUACUUCUGCAUUGCUCCAAUGGUCUGCAGCAAGGGCUUUGGUUCAAAGGUAAGGAUGUAGUUCAUGAAGUAUGGGUUAGGAGCAAGUCACAGGUUUGAAUCCUGCCGUGAACAAAAGCCUGAUAUUUAAGUUAGAAAUAGGGUAGAAGGGCAGGCCAUACUCCCCCGAGUUUCAAACUUGAUACCUGAAUGUGUCAUAGGAGAUAGGACCACAUGCAAUUAUCCGAAACAUUGCUAUAAUGGUUUUGCUUAACAAAUAAGAAUCAUCUAAGGCUUUUAGAGGAGAUAGCUCUAGCUGCUCGUUAUCCUAUGUUCCUUAGCAAGUUAUAUGAUUUGGGAAAAAUAUCAAUAGAGGUGUCAAGAUUAAUAGAUCAAAUACCUAGAAUUAAAAAAAUUCAUUGAAGAUUUUUCUUUUUUCUUUUUGGACAGAUCAAACUUCUGUUAUAGUUCAAAUUUCUAAUAGCUAUAUUAGAAACAAAUGCAGGUUCACCUUCUUAAUACUCUAUAUAUGACUUAGGAACUUCUUGAUUUAAAAAAAUUGACUUGGGAGCUUGUAGGUUAGUAUAUCCCAAAUCUGAUAUGAACUUCUACCAAAAAUGUGGACUUGACUAUUUGGUCCCUUUAAGUUAAUAAGUUUGUGAAAUGUAACCGCGGGGGUGCAAAUUAAUAGCAGUGAGGAGGAACAUGCAAUCUCUCCCAAUAUCUCCAGUUGCCGAGCAGGGUCAAUGCCAAUUGCCCACACAUAUUAUGCCCUUUAAUUCUAUCAUACCCCUAAACACGGGCAAGUUUUUCAUUCAAUUUAGGCUCUAAUUUGCAUCUAACACAACUAAAAUUUCUGAAAGUUUCGAUCUUUCCUAGCCACUAACUAGAAUCAACCAUAUAACUUAUUACUGCAAAUGAACACAGACAAAAAAGAACAAGAUGAAAUUAGUGAACCAACGUUAACAAUACGUAUGGAGAGGGAAGUAAAUCCACAUUCCUUGGCAACCCUAUCGUUCGAAGGUUCAUGGCAAGAGGCAAGCUUGAAGUCCGUGCCAUCAAACAAAGAAUUCAACUUCACUGCAGCAAUAUGCUCCUCCAAAGCAGAUAACUUGCCACCAAC
rnacentral:lncRNA from 1 species